GUCUUUAUGGAUUUUAUGUAAAGUCUAGCCUGCCCAAUGAUGUAAUUUAAUGGCCGCGGUAUAUUGACCGUGCGAAGGUAGCAUAAUAAUUAGUCCUUUAAUUGAGGACUGGUAUGAAAGGUUGGACAAAAAGUUGACUGUCUCUGAAUUAAAUCUUGAAUUUAACUUUUAAGUGAAAAGGCUUAAGUGUUUUAGGGGGACGAUAAGACCCUAUAAAUCUUUAUAUUUAAGUUUAUAGGAUAAGAGAGUAAAAAGAUAUUUUGUUUAAUAAUUUUAAAUAUUUUGUUGGGGUGACAAGAGCAUAAUAUGUAACUGCUUUAAAAUAAUAGUUAAAUAUAUUUAGUUAGGUGAUCCUUUUAUAAAGAUGUUAGUUUAAGUUACUUUAGGGAUAACAGCGUAAUUUUUUUUGAGAGUUCAUAUCGAAAAAAAAGUUUGCGACCUCGAUGUUGAAUUAAAGAUCCUUUGUGGUGCAGGAGCUGCAAAAGGAGAUCUGUUCGAUCUUUAAAUCUUUACAUGAUUUGAGUUCAGACCGGCGUGAG
rnacentral:rRNA from 1 species